AGGCCCGGAAGCAAUCGCCCGCUCAGCCGAUUUACUGGUCCAGGUCACCUCCGCCGCUGUCACGGCGGGCAGGGCUCCAGGCCAGUCUCCGUCACGGCCGCCGCCACCUCCGACGCUCCCCGGCCACAGACUGCAGGUUGGGUCGAAAGGUGCUCGAUGAUUUGCUUCAUAGGACUACUGCUGCUCGGAUUGAUUUCGUUGUUACGCAGGGAUAAUAUGUUGAUGCUAGAGUUUAAACUCUAAAAUCAGACAAGGGCGUGGUGUUCAGGAUGUGGUUGAGAGAAUAGUAGUUGGCAGAUACUGGAUUACCUGACCAGAAAGAGUAUCAUGGAAUUGGAUACAGACUUCCCUCAGGUUUUUGCAAUUUAGAUUAGCAAAUCACUUUUACUAUGUACGAAACUGAUCUGUUUCUUCUCAUUUAGGAUAGACGCAGUAGAAAAGAAGUCGUCAUGUUUCUCCAAUAUACUCCCUCCAUCCCAAAGAAAACUUAUGCAUGUGGAUAUCUUCAUUUUACCAUAUCUUGGGUUGACAGGAAACAAGCUGUCCCCCAUGAUUUUUAGCUUUGAUGUGCCCUGACGUUCUAUUAUAAACAUUGCAUGCUGGUUGGUAAACAAAAUUGUUCAAGCAAUUUCGAAGUGAUGUGUUACUUGGUGCAGUCUAAUCUGAACAUUAUUCUUAUUUUCCUUUGUUACUGAAAAUUAUUCCGUACACAGACACACACACACGCAACUGUGAAGGUAUAUGUGUUUUUUGUUUUUGGACAAGUCAUACACAUGUUUGACUGAUAAUCAUGAUGCCUUGCUUCCUUUCUUUGCUGAAAUUUUACAACAAUGCCUCUACUAACCUCAUUUCAAUUGAUGAGUACAGACCUUCUGUUUGUUUUUGUGUGUGUUAAAUGGCAUAGGAAUUUCUCCCCUGGAGCUUUCCAGUUUAGAGAACUGAAUUUGACAGUCCAAAUCAUAAGACAACAUUCAACAUUACUAAGCAAGGGAACUUCAGAAAAUAUUUUCCUGUCCCUGGUAGAAACAGAACUGAAGAUUACACCCUUCAGGUUAGAUAUGGACACUCCAAAUCAGUAGACACCUUUUUUCUUCUUUUUGGUAUUGCUUCCAAAAUCAUGAUUACAUUCAUAUCACAAAACAGUCAAAAUGCUAAGCUAAAUUGUACUACAACAACAGCCAAUCUACAACUACAGCCAACAGCUACAGCAGCUGAGCGCACAUCACAUGGACCUAGCCAAGUACGUUUACAGUGCAAGACAAUCUCGGCGACAUUGACAGAGCAAAAUUUGUUGUAUUUUUUUCCAUCAAUUGUUUUGUUCUGAUGCUGAACAUAAAAUAAAUGUAUGCUUGCUGCUCAUUAUCAGGCUAUGAGGCAGACAAAGCAACUACAAAAGAAUGUAUCCUAGCUACCUUCACCAAUAUGUUGCAGCAGCAAGUCAAGCCACAGAGACUAUAUGAAUGCUUGCUGUUAAUUUCAUUGGAAUGCAGGAAUGGCUGACCGAGAGCAGUGUGCACAUCUCUGAGGCCAAACGAGGCGUUGGAGUCGAGGAUUUGACACAAUUUGGAUCGAAUUACUACUAUCUAUCCAACCGGUCUUUCUCUCCUCGGGUCUUGGUAGUUCGUCCCUGAGAUUGGUUUUCUAUGCCUAAGAAAGUGGAAUGGAGGGAGUAACGCCUUGAGGUCUUAUUUAUUAUAAUUAUAGUCAAUGUAGUUCCAUUUUCAUAUUGUAGAGAUGAUCUUCGUUGUGUUACCUUUGGCCAGUAGGGUAUGUCAACCGGCUUUACCUAUGGAACACUUAGUUUAUUCCCAGUACUUUAUCAGCAAUCAUUUUUGUUAAAAGCA